AGGACGAACGCUGGCGGCGUGCUUAACACAUGCAAGUCGAGCGGAAAGGCCUUUCGGGGUACUCGAGCGGCGAACGGGUGAGUAACACGUGAGUAAUCUGCCCAUCGCUUCAGGAUAGCCAUCGGAAACGGUGAUUAAUACUGGAUAUGACAUUCCUUCGCAUGUUGGGGUGUGGAAAGUUUUUUCGGCGGUGGAUGUGCUCGCGGCCUAUCAGCUUGUUGGUGGGGUAAUGGCCUACCAAGGCUUUGACGGGUAGCCGGCCUGAGAGGGUGACCGGCCACGACUGGGACUGAGACACGGCCCAGACUCCUACGGGAGCAGCAGUGGGGAAUAUUGGACAAUGGGCGAAGCCUGAUCCAGCAACGCCGCGUGAGGGAUGA
rnacentral:rRNA from 1 species